UUGGCGUCUCCAUGUAUUGUUUACGUGCGGAUGGGGGGUUUGGGGCUAUAUGCCUCGGGUUAUCACAAAGACGCCAUUCUCUGCCUUUGCAUAUUGACAGUUCUCACAGAGGCGGCGAGAAGAAGUGAAAGUGAAAGGCAGGAAAUGGAAGCUUCAGGUGUUGCAGGACCGCGUCUCAGCCGGCGGGUUUGAAAGUCACGCUUUGAGAAGCAGUGAUCAAGUGGCCCAAUACUUUUGAUGGAAGGUCUUCCGUGUUCCUGUGUGAUGCAAUAGAGGCCAAAAAAGCGGAGACAUCUGGCAGGAAACUGCGACGCACUUUCAAAUGAGAGACGACGCCAUGUCUGCUGGCCUACGUCCAUUGUCCCCACCAGGAUUUGGAUCAGCGUUGGCGUCUGUGUCAGGUAGGG